rnacentral:rRNA from 1 species
UACGUAGGGGGCAAGCGUUGUCCGGAUUUAUUGGGCGUAAAGAGCGUGUAGGCGGCCUGAAAGGUCAGCUGUGAAAACUCGAGGCUCAACCUCGAGACGUCGGUUGAAACCAUCUGGCUAGAGUCCGGAAGAGGAGAGUGGAAUUCCCGGUGUAGCGGUGAAAUGCGCAGAUAUCGGGAGGAACACCUGUGGCGAAAGCGGCGCACUGGACCAUAACUGACGCUGAUGCGCGAAAGCUAGGGGAGCAAACAGG